rnacentral:tRNA from 1 species
GCCCCCUUAGCUCAGGGGAUAGAGCACCGGCCUCCGGAGCCGGGUGCGCAGGUUCGAAUCCUGCAGGGGGCAC